CUACGGGCGGCAGCAGUAAGGAAUAUUGCACAAUGGGGGAAACCCUGAUGCAGCAACGCCGCGUGGACGAAGAAGGCCUUCGGGUCGUAAAGUCCUUUUCUGAGGGAAGAGGAAGGACGGUACCUCAGGAAUAAGUCUCGGCUAACUACGUGCCAGCAGCCGCGGUAAAACGUAGGUGGCGAGCGUUAUCCGGAUUCACUGGGCGUAAAGGGCAAGGAGGCGGUUGUUUAAGUUAGGUGUGACAUCUCUCGGCUUAACUGGGAGGGAGCGCUUAAAACUAGGCAACUAGAGGGCGGAAGAAGGGGGUAGAACUCCAAAUGUAGCGGUGGAAUGCUCAGAUAUUUGGAAGAAUACCAGUGGCGAAGGCGACCCCCCGGUCCGUGCCUGACGCUGAGAGGCGAAAGCUAGGGUAGCGAACGGGAUUAGAUACCCGCGUAGUC
rnacentral:rRNA from 1 species